AUAAAGUUUUAUUCUUGCUUAAGGAUUUAUUUAAAUUUUGUUUUACAUGUAAGUUUUUGCAUGAUAUUAAUUAAUUUUUCUAAAUGAUUAUUAAUUUGUGAUUAAAGCGCAGUAUUUAAUUUUAUUAAUCAAGGUAACUUGGAUUUAGCAAUUGUUUAUAGUACCGGCUAAAGUCGUGCCAGCUGCCGCGGUUACACGGAGGGUACAAAUAAAUAUUUUUAGUUUGUAGUUAUAAGUCUAUUUAUUUUAAGGAGUUAAAUUUAAUUUUGUUAGGUGAAAUUUUAAUUUUAAAUUAUUUCUUUAAUUAAUUAUUUAGAGGCUAUGAAAUUUAUUUUUUAAACUAGGAUUAGAUACCCUAUUAUUUUAAAUGUAAACUGUUUUAGCUUGGGUAGUAAUAGUUAUGUUCUUGAAACUCAAAGAAUUUGGCGGUGUUUUAGUCCUUUCAGAGGAACCUGUCCCUUAAUCGAUAGUCCACGUUAAACCUUACUUAACUUUGUUUUUCAGCUUGUAUACCGCCGUCGUCAGAAUGUCCUUAGAGGGUUUAAAUUUUCUUUAAUUUUUAUUAUAAAUGAUGUCAGGUCAAGGUGCAGCUUAUGGUUAAGUGGAGAUGGGUUACAAUAAAUAUAUUUAUAACGGAUAAUAAGUUGAAUGACUUAUUUGAAGGUGGAUUUGAUUGUAAUUUGUUCAAUUAAAGUAUUUUGAUUUUGGCUCUAAAACAUGCACACAUCGCCCGUCGCUCUCGUUAUUUAAGGCGAGAUAAGUCGUAACAUAGUAGGCGUACCGGAAGGUGUGCCUGGAAAGUU
rnacentral:ncRNA from 1 species